GGUUUCUCAAAAUAGGCAGCUCUAGGAAAGAAGAAAAAGAAGAACUAUGACCAGGAGCUCUUGUGAUGUAACUGCCUUCAUUUGUCACAAUGGGAGAUUGGUAACCAACACUGGAAACGUAUUCUGCAGAAGGAGUACAUUUAUGGAGAAGAAUAUGAACCUGUGGAAGAUGCUUCCCCAGAACCAUGAUAAAGCGGAGUCUCGGAAAGCUGGGUUUGGUCUCAGGAGCAGGAGAAACUACAUGGAAGCCAAAGAAGAAUCAGGGUAUUGUUUUAAACAGUGA
rnacentral:lncRNA from 1 species